UUUUCUGACUAAGACUUCCAGUUCUAUGAUGAGUAAAAAUGGCAGCAUGCUGGGACACUGAAGACACAAAGACGUCAUAGUCGGGGGAGAUAAGUUGUCGGGGAAGUAGGAGGAGGCGCCCUUUCAACCUGUACCCUAAAGUGAGCUGAUUACCUUUCAAAGAACUCUGAUCACCCACAAAAUCAGCCUGAGAUCAGAAUUAUACACGUCUGGAUCUCUAGCGGAGCAGAAGACACCAGUGGGCAGGAAGUUUGACUCUUCCAGCAAUUUUGAGAGAAGCUUGGAAAGCAUGAAACAUGCUGACAUUCUAGCAGUCUUGGUGUGUACAAAGUUCUCAACCUGUAAUCAUCUAGGAAUGCAAUUCUGGGAAUAUCAGUUUGGCGGUUGUGGUCAUUGCUGCUGUGAACAUUGGGAUACAGAUGGCCCUUCUUUUCACUACAUCAGUGUCUUUGGGAUAAAUACCCAGUACUGCAAUUGCUGGAACAUAGGGUAGCUCUAUUUGUAUCAACAUGGACAGAACUGGAGGAGAUUAUGCUGAAUGAAAUUAAGUCAAACAGAGAAAGUCAAUUAUAUGGUUUCACUUAAUUGUGGAGCAUAAGAAAUAACAUGGCAUGUCAGGGACCGCCUCCAGCCGGGAAAAUCCCCGCCAUUACAAGAUGGCACUUGGCUCACUGCCAGCAAAAUACGCUGCAAGUAAACAACGAACGUUCUGGUGAAGCUCGCCUAAAGGAGGACAUAGUCAUUGACUGUUUCAAAUUUAAUAAGCAUAGUAACAGGACUCUCAUUGGCUCUCCCCAUUGCUUGGCCCUUAUUGGUCACCCUGCCACAUAUAAGCUAAGGAAGUUGACAAAAUAAAUGGAUGAAGCAUUAACACCAUACCAGGCUGAUUGUCGUUCUUGCAGGCUGAGGGCGACAAAUGGUGCUGAGACCCGGGAAUUGUUAACAAGUAGUAAACCUUGCAAGGAGAAAAACCGCAGGUAAGCGGGAAAGGAACCACGAUCAAAGUGGUGGGAAUCUUGUACAAGACCGCAACAAGAAGCGGGGCGGCCAUAGAGCCAGGAUUUUAUAAGAC